rnacentral:lncRNA from 1 species
UAUAAUUUGCAAACACAAACUUGUCCAGCUAGGACUCAAGUUCGUUCCUUCCACCGUAGAGGUAAAAUCUAUUACUAUUUCAUAAUCUGAUUUCAAUACAGAAAAUGUUUCGUUCUAUUUUUCCUUUAUGGAGAGAAACAAAGACCCAAAUACCCAACACUUCGAUUCACAAAAUCAGAUGCCCAAAUAAAUGAACUUAUUUAAGCUAAAACAAAUAAAAUGAAAUCAGCAGACUGAAAUUAGAAGAGGAAUUAGAGAUGAAUUUGUAUGAGCAGCUGUCGCCGAACUGGGAAGACGAAAGGAGGCAGGGUCGCCCGCCUCCGGCAAUGGCGUGCCGUCCGGCGGCGGCAGGGUGCAGAGAGGGUGGUGGUGAGCGGCCGAGAGGCAGAGGGAGAGGGAGUGAGAGAGGGCUGCUGCUGUGUGGGUGUGUUUAGUUUAAAUUAGGGAAAGUCAAAAUGAGUUUGGGCCUAAUUUGGUGUUACAUUUAAUGGCUCAAUUUAUUGUGAGAUUGGGCUCAAUAUUAAAUCAAAUUUUGGGCUUAAGAUUUUAAUUUAAUAAGUUGGGCAUGAUUUUUAGUUAAACACCAACCCAAAAUUUUAUAAUAGCAUACAUUUUAUUAUUUGAUUCAUUAGACCAAAAAUUAUGAUGGUAUUAUAGAAUAAAAUUUUAAAGUUUAGAUUAUUUUUCUGAUAAAGUUCAGAUAGGCCCUUAUGUUUUAUUAUUUGAAUUUAACUGACUAGGUGCGGCGCGACUAGGACAUGAAUUUUCAUUGAAUUGCUCAAGUCAGUUAUCAAGUUCAAACUCAAGUUAAAGUUUCAGGUGUGGGAUUUACUUAAAUACAUGUCGUGGUUAAUUGUUGUCCAUUUUAAUAUUAUGUGUUUACCAUAUGUGAGUUACUCCCUCCGUCCCUGAAAUAAGUUCCUCUUUUUCCAUUUUGGGACGUCCCCCAAAUAAGUUCCUCUUUCUUUCUUUCUAUUUUUGGACAACUACUCCACCACUAAUAAUACUUUAUUUAUUCUUACUUUUCACUUUUUCACCACUCUCAAUACUAAUUAUAACACUUUUUCACCUUUUCACCACUCCCAAUAUUAAUUAUAACAUAUUUUUCUCCACUAUCAAUACACUUUACAAUUUUCCUUAAAACCCGUGCCGUCCCCAAAGAGGAACUUAUUUUGGGGACGGAGGGAGUAUAUAAUAUCGCUGGGGGCCAGCAUAAUUGGUCCAGGACGUCAUAGUCCUUGGUAUGCCACAAUGCGAUUUACAUGUUAAAGUUAUGGUUUCAACCAGUCGCCAGGGGCCGGUUGAAUCGGUCCAGGACGAAAGGUCAUUGGUAUGCCACCGUGCGACUUACAGUUAUGAAUGUUACGAUCAUAUGUGUUACCAUUUUAUUAACGUGGACAAUAAUUGCAUGAUAUCUCACACUGAGUGUACUCUGUAUGCUCAUCCCAUAUUAAACAUUUUCAGGUAUUUUACUGUUGGAGACGCGUGGAGGGUCGAAUGAGCGCAUCAAGUUAUUUUGCGAACAGUUGAUUUCAUUCUAAAUUAAUUUAAGUAUUUAAAGUUUUGCUUAGCACAGGUUUUAUUUAAUAGUUAAAUAAUCUCAUGUAUGACUUCUUUACGUCAUACUUUGGGACCGAGAUGUUGUGAUCGGUUUUAAACCAAAGUUUGUAUUUGAAAAUAUUAUUAAAAAG